rnacentral:rRNA from 1 species
UACGGAGGAUGCGAGCGUUAUCCGGAUUUAUUGGGUUUAAAGGGUGCGUAGGCGGUCCGUUAAGUCAGCGGUCAAAUCGUGGGGCUCAACCCCAUCCAGCCGUUGAAACUGGGGAUCUAGAGUGUGCGAGAGGUAGGCGGAAUUCGUGGUGUAGCGGUGAAAUGCUUAGAUAUCACGAAGAACUCCGAUUGCGAAGGCAGCCUGCUGGACUGUAACUGACGCUGAUGCUCGAAAGUGUGGGUAUCGAACAGG